rnacentral:misc_RNA from 1 species
UCAAUUUCUAAUUCAAUCUCCAGCCAUUCAAUUCAAUAAUGACCCUAUUACCCCUUCUGCUUCUUCUUCCUCAACCCCUUAUAAGAGGCCCCUUCUGACUCAUCACCAUACUCAUCGCUCUUCCUCUCUUUCUAAAUCCCCUACCAUCUACCAUUUCUCCACCACCCAACAAAAACACUCUCUUUUUUCUAUUUCCGUCGCUGCUAAAUCCGCUGCCUUUCGAUUCCUCUGCCGUUUCAACCACCUUCGCCGUCUCCGCGUCCAUCUUCGCU